GAGUUUGAUCUUGGCUCAGAUUGAACGCUGGCGGCAGGCCUAACACAUGCAAGUCGGGCGGUAGAGAGAAGCUUGCUUCUCCGUGAGAGCGGCGGACGGGUGAGUAAUGCCUAGGAAUCUGCCUGGUAGUGGGGGAUAACGCUCGGAAACGGACGCUAAUACCGCAUACGUCCUACGGGAGAAAGCAGGGGACCUUCGGGCCUUGCGCUAUCAGAUGAGCCUAGGUCGGAUUAGCUAGUUGGUGAGGUAAUGGCUCACCAAGGCGACGAUCCGUAACUGGUCUGAGAGGAUGAUCAGUCACACUGGAACUGAGACACGGUCCAGACUCCUACGGGAGGCAGCAGUGGGGAAUAUUGGACAAUGGGCGAAAGCCUGAUCCAGCCAUGCCGCGUGUGUGAAGAAGGUCUUCGGAUUGUAAAGCACUUUAAGUUGGGAGGAAGGGCAGUAAAUUAAUACUUUGCUGUUUUGACGUUACCGACAGAAUAAGCACCGGCUAACUCUGUGCCAGCCGCCG
rnacentral:rRNA from 1 species